UUCAAAUGCAGAAACCAAAAAUCGCAUUGCCGCCAAUUUUCUCCUGCGAAACCAAACCACAGAGGAAGAAUUUUUCUCACCAUUUGCUCUUUAUCUUCAUCCUUCAUCGGCAGGGAAUGACUUGACAGUUUGAUUAAAGAGCACAGGAAAAAGAAGCUCUUUGCUUGGAAUUUUGAACAUAGUUUAGCUGCUGUGAGAUCCAGAUAUAUUAUGGAUUAAAAUCUUGUAUUCGAGGUUGAAAUGAGAUGCAAUGAGUGCUGGCGAGAAUUGGAAGGACGAGCUAUUUCCACUACUUGUGAUCAUCUCUUGUUUAUCCAAGUUCAAUUUAUGAUUCUGCUUUUUCAGUUUUGUUUUUUAUGUUUCCUUUGACUUCCUUUCUGUGAGUAAUUAAGGAUUGGUACAUUUUUAUAUUUAUUUCCUUAACAGUAUGAUAGGCGCUGAAGAUGCCAGUAAGAUCCUUAGUAAUGAUGCAGCAUGUCCAAUUUGUGAUCAAGUGCUCUCUAAAAGCCUUACGAAACCUGUGGAUAUCAGUCCAAAUGACGAAUGGAUAAAUAUGGCCAUAGCUGGAGUAUCUCCUCAAAUACGUAUCUUUUAUAGUAAAUUAUUACUUACACCUCCUCCUCUGUCAAGUCCAUCUGCUGCCCAAUAUAAUUGAGCGGGAUUGUUAAUGUUACCUAACAAAAUAAUUUGCCCUUUAUAUUUGAGAGAGUCACCGGACUUAAAAAGAGGGGAGGUUUCCAUUGAAAUUCACAGUAAAUUUUGCAAAAAGGACACAUUAGAAACUGUAUUUCCUUAAAUGAACUAAGUUAUGAAAAGUGCACACAGAAGUGUGAUGUUUUAUAUUGGGCAAAAGGAACUGGAGAUGCAAUACAAGAUGAACUGAAUUGUAGCUCAAUGUUGGAAAAAAUGUGAGGUCAUGCAAGAAAAGUUUGCAGAAAAACUGGAAUAGGUGCAUACUGCAUAUCAAAAAAUGGCUAAGAGGUGUCAGAUGAUGGAACAAGAGAUUGAGAGUUUGUCCAAGGAUAAGCAAGAGCUCCAAGAAAAAUUUUCUGAGAAGUCCAGGCAGAAGAGAAAGCUUGAUGAAAUGUAUGAUCAAGGUAGAUGUUGAAGGACAAUCUAUCCCAAUAACUCAAGCCGAAGAAGUCCUAAAUUGACAAAUAAAGAAUGUAGCAGUCCAGAACAAGACAAUGCAAUGCAUUGACUCAAAGAUAGAUCAAGUUCUUCAUAGAACUCAUACCAUUGAUCAAAAGGUGGAUUCUUUUACUUUGUUUGCCUAGAAUAUGUAUAGAGAACUCCAAACCAAGAUCACACAGCUGGACAAAAAUCUACACUCUUUAAUUUAACAAAGAAGGUUUGAUUGGAAUUUAAUCAAAAGGAAGCAGAGAUAAAGAGACUGAAGACGCAACUAGCCCAAGAUGAAGCAGACCUACACAGACCUAUGAAAACACUUGCACCCUAUAGCCAUUUCUCUCCACAAAAGACACAAAACCCUUUCAUAACCACACCAGCACCUGUUUGUUCUCCAUUUAGCUUUGCCUUUGAACCAACACUUGCACCAUAUAACAUUUCUCCAUUAUUUUAUAAACAAACUCCUCCAUUUGACCCAACUAGAUUUGAAUUCGGCAAUCUCUCUUUCUUUGAUGAAUCUCUUUAAUUUGUCAAGAGAAAGAUUCAUAAAGGAAAAAAAU